CCAUUGGGUCAGAAGGGUCCUUACAGCUCCAUUGGGUUGGAAGGGUCCUUACAGCACUGUUGGGUUGGAAGGGUCCUUACAGAUCACUGAACCACAGUGCCAUUGGGUCAGAAGGGUCCUUACAGCACCACUGGGUUGGAAGGGUCCUUACAGCACUGUUGGGUUGGAAGGGUCCUUACAGCUCCAUUGGGUUGGAAGGGUCCUUACAGAUCACUGAACCACAGUGCCAUUGGGUUGGAAGGGUCCUUACCGCUCCAUUGGGUUGGAAGGGUCCUUACAGCUCCAUUGGGUUGGAAGGGUCCUUACAGAUCGCUGAACCACAGUGCCAUUGGGUCAGAGGGGUCCUUACAGCACCGUUGGGUUGGAAGGGUCCUUACAGCACUGUUGAGUUAGAAGGGUCCUUACAGAUCACUGAACCACAGCAUGGUUGGGUUGGAAGGGUCCUUACAGCACUGUUGAGUUAGAAGGGUCCUUACAGAUCACUGAACCACAGCAUGGUUGGGUUGGAAGGGUCCUUACAGCACUGUUGAGUUGGAAGGGUCCUUACAGCUCCAUUGGGUUGGAAGGGUCCUUACAGAUCA
ensembl:lncRNA